UCCCACUGUCUCUCGUUUCUCUCUCUAUAAUACAACCGGCACCAAUACUACUCGCCGUCCAUCACCGUCAACUGGAAUACCGUACAUCUUGGGUUUUCAACUGUCGUCUCAUGUUCAAGUUCGCCAGGCGAAUCGGUGGAGUUUAGAUUCGCCAGAUCGCCGUCGUCGAUUGGAUUUUUUAAAUUGAGUUUGUGAUGGACUGAGGCUUGGAAGUGUGGGGUUUAGGAUUGGAAGAACCGAGGAGGAUAUUGAGAUGUCGAAUUCGAAGGUGGUGUAUGACGGGUGGAUGGUGCGGUAUGGGAGGAGGAAGAUUGGGAGAUCUUUUAUACAUAUGAGAUAUUUUGUUCUUGAGUCCAGAUUGCUUGCUUAUUACAAAAGGAAGCCUCAGGAUAAUGUGGUUCCAAUCAAGACUCUGGUUAUCGAUGGCAACUGUAGAGUUGAGGACAGAGGUUUAAAAACCCAACAUGGGCAUAUGGUAUAUGUUUUGUCAAUUUACAACAAGAAGGAGAAAUAUCAUCGGAUUACGAUGGCAGCUUUCAACAUCCAGGAGGCACUUAUCUGGAAAGAAAAAAUUGAGUCUGUUAUUGAUCAGCAUCAGGAGUCACUAGUUGCUAAUGGGAAUAAAUACCAUUCUUUUGAAUAUAAGUCUGGGAUGGAUAGUGGAAGGAAUGCUUCCUCAUCAGAUCAGGAAAGCCAGUACAGUGCAGCUGAAGAUGAAGAAGAUUCCCGUCCAAGUUUGAUGCGUAGAACAACCAUUGGGAAUGGCCCUCCUGAAUCUAUAUUGGAUUGGACCCAAGAAAGUUCAACAUUGGCAAGCCAGAAUACCAACAAUCAGGCAUUUUCAAGGAAACACUGGCGGCUUCUUCAAUGCCAAAAUGGACUUCGUAUCUUUGAAGAGCUUCUCGAAGUUGAUUUUCUUCCAAAGAGCUGUAGUAGGGCUAUGAAGGCUGUCGGUGUUGUGGAAGCCAGCUGUGAAGAAAUAUUUGAGCUUGUAAUGAGCAUGGAUGGGACACGAUCAGAGUGGGAUUGUAGUUUCCAGGAUGGUAGCUUGGUUGAGGAGGUGGAUGGACACACAGCAAUUCUAUAUCACAGGCUUCAGCUGGAUUGGUUUCCAACGUUCGUGUGGCCACGUGACCUUUGUUAUGUGCGGUAUUGGCGUCGAAAUGAUGAUGGGAGUUAUGUUGUACUAUUUUGUUCAAGGGAGCAUGAGAACUGUGGCCCACAACCAGGAUAUGUCCGUGGUCAUAUUGAGAGUGGAGGGUUUAAUAUUUCCCCUCUCAAACCUCGAAAUGGAAGGCCCAGAUCACAGGUCCAGCAUUUAAUGCAAAUUGAUCUAAAGGGAUGGGGCGUGGGCUAUAUUUCAUCAUUUCAGCAACAUUGUCUGCUACAGUUGUUAAAUAGUGUUGCUGGACUGCGGGAAUAUUUUGCUCAGACUGAUGAAAGGAUUGUUCCACCAAGAAUUCCUGUUAUGGUUAAUAUGGCAUCGUGCUCUGUUCCUACGAAGAAGACACAAAAGAUCCACUUGACUUCGGUUCAUAAUCGAAGUCAGUCUCUUGAUAAUGCUGCAAAAAUGAUGGAUGAAUACUCGGAUGAGGAUGAAGAUUUACAAAUCCCUGACGAAGAGGCAUACAGAAUCGAGCCAGAGACCAAGCGAAUUGCCAUUGAAGAAGAACCUGUCGUUCAAAUUGACUUGUCUUGCUUUUCGGGUAAUCUUCGGCGAGAUGAUAACGAAAAUGCCCGUGACUGCUGGAGAAUAUCCGAUGGAAACAACUUCAGAGUCCGUAGUAAGCGUUAUUGCUACGAUAAAAAGUCGAAGAUGCCUGGAGGCAAACAUCUUAUGGAUCUUGUUGCUGUUGACUGGUUUAAAGACACCAAACGAAUGGACCAUGUUGCUAGACGCCCGGGUUGUGCUGCACAGGUUGCCUCUCAAAAAGGACAUUUUUGCAUGGUGUUCAAUCUCCAAGUAAGGUACCUGGAUCGACAAACUACAGCAUGGUUUUCUAUUUUGUGACCAAGGAAUUAGCACCUGGCUCUCUCUUGCAACGGUUUGUUGAUGGUGAUGAUGAGUUCCGUAAUAGUAGAAUGAAGCUCAUACCAUCAGUUCCCAAGGGGUCCUGGAUAGUGCGACAGAGUGUUGGAAGCACCCCUUGUCUUUUGGGAAAAGCGGUUGACUGCAACUAUAUCCGUGGUACCAAUUACUUGGAAGUUGAUGUUGACAUUGGUUCUUCUACCGUGGCUAAUGGCGUCUUGGGUCUUGUAGUUGGUGUUAUCACUAGCCUUGUGGUUGACAUGGCUUUCCUUGUACAGGCAAACACGACUGAUGAGUUGCCAGAGCGGCUUAUAGGUGCUGUCCGGGUUUCCCAUCUAGAGCUAUCGUCUGCUAUUGUUCCUGAACUGGAGACAGAUCCAGAAUCAUCACAAUGAACAUUGUACAAAAAUUUAGCAGCAAAUACUGGCAGGCGAGCAGCAAAGAGAGGGAGAGAAUGUAAAGAAAGCUGUUAGCUUGAAGAAAAAGAAAAUGGGAAGGUGGAAGGAAGGAAUGUGACCAAAAAAAUCCAUUUGAAUAGACAAAAGUUGCAAGUGAUCCCCUCCACAUGCAUCUGAUGCUGAUGAUGAAAAUAAUAAGGAAACAUGAAAUUUGUAUUUAUUUUUAUACCACAUUUGGUACAUACAUGUGAAUGGUUGAAAAUUUAGUACAUCAAAAAAUCUCCGUUUUCAAAUUCAGAUAUAUAUACUUAUGGCCUUACAAAA